rnacentral:rRNA from 1 species
CCCUUCGAUGUUCGGAGCUGCACGCGCGCUACACUGUGGGUGGCAGCAUGUUAGCUUGCCUCGCUCGCAAGAGUGGGGUAAUCGUUUGAAAAUCCCACGUGAUUGGGAUAGGGACUUGUAAUUAUUUCCCUUGAACGAGGAAUCCCUAGUAAGUGCAGGUCAUCAGCUUGCGCUGAUUACGUCCCUGCCCUUUGUACACACCGCCCGUCGCACCUACCGAUUGAAUGGUCCGGUGAAGCCUCCGGAUUGGCGCGCACCCCGGUGCCGCCGAGAAGUUGGCUAAACCUUACCAUUUAGAGGAAGGUGAAGUCGUAACA